rnacentral:rRNA from 1 species
GCUAUGCCCGAUCUCGUCUGAUCUCGGAAGCUAAGCAGGUUUGGGCCUGGUUAGUACUUGGAUGGGAGACCGCCUGGGAAUACCAGGUGCUGUAAGCUUUUUGGACAUUUUUCACUUAGUAUAUAAUAAUUUUGCCAAAAAAUAGUCAAUGCCCGAUCUCUGAAUCUUAGCAGGUUUAGGUCUGGUUAGUACUUUGAUGAGAGACUGCCUAGGAAUACCAGGUGCUUUAAGCUUUUGGGUUUUCUUUCCUACUUAUAUAAUGUACUGGCGAUAAGAUUGGCUGGUCUUUAAAUAGCCCUCUCUUUGCAGCAGACUUCGCUUACGGCCAUACCAACCUG